UGUUAAGCCUGAUUCUCAUAUGUCGCCGACGUCGGCGAUGCCCAUUGUCGUUGAUCAUUGAUGAGUAAAAUCUUUUGUCUAUGUUCUCUUCACUGAUCACAAACAAUGGCAUCACCGACGUCGGCGACAUAUGAGAAUCAGGC